rnacentral:rRNA from 1 species
GUGGGGAAUAUUGGACAAUGGGCGCAAGCCUGAUCCAGCCAUGCCGCGUGAGUGAUGAAGGCCUUAGGGUUGUAAAGCUCUUUCACCGGUGAAGAUAAUGACGGUAACCGGAGAAGAAGCCCCGGCUAACUUCGUGCCAGCAGCCGCGGUAAUACGAAGGGGGCUAGCGUUGUUCGGAAUUACUGGGCGUAAAGCGCACGUAGGCUGAUAUUUAAGUCAGGGGUGAAAUCCCGGGGCUCAACCCCGGAACUGCCUUUGAUACUGGGUAUCUGGAGUAUGGAAGAGGUCAGUGGAAUUGCGAGUGUAGAGGUGAAAUUCGUAGAUAUUCGCAGGAACACCAGUGGCGAAGGCGGCUGACUGGUCCAUUACUGACGCUGAGGUGCGAAAGCGUGGGGAGCAAACAGGAUUAGAUACCCCGGUAGUCC